GGACAGUUGAGUCAGGGGUGAAAGCCCGGUGCUCAACCCCGGAAUUGCCCUUGAUACUGGCUGUCUUGAGUACGGGAGAGGUGUGUGGAACUCCGAGUGUAGAGGUGAAAUUCGUAGAUAUUCGGAAGAACACCAGUGGCGAAGGCGACACACUGGCCCGUUACUGACGCUGAGGCGCGAAAGCGUGGGGAGCAAACAG
rnacentral:rRNA from 1 species